UACGAAGGGGGCUAGCGUUGCUCGGAAUCACUGGGCGUAAAGGGUGCGUAGGCGGGUCUUUAAGUCAGGGGUGAAAUCCUGGAGCUCAACUCCAGAACUGCCUUUGAUACUGAAGAUCUUGAGUUCGGGAGAGGUGAGUGGAACUGCGAGUGUAGAGGUGAAAUUCGUAGAUAUUCGCAAGAACACCAGUGGCGAAGGCGGCUCACUGGCCCGGUACUGACGCUGAGGCGCGAAAGCUAGGGUAGCAAACGGG
rnacentral:rRNA from 1 species